rnacentral:rRNA from 1 species
AUGUUGCCUAAAAAGCAUUUGUCUGGUUCUGAGAAAAGAAGAAAGAAAAAGGCAGAAAAAGAGUUCAUUGAUACUCAAAAGGGUGCUAUGCACAAAUUUCUUCCUAGGAAAGUCGUUGCUGAGAGUUCGAAUCAAUUAGAUCAACAACCCGUAGAAGCCUUAGAUUCUACAAAUGAUCACAAUCAGGGCAGAAAUUCGGGUGAGCAUGAAAAUGAUGCCAAUUCUGAAAACCCAAUUCCUAAUGAACAAGAAACUAGUCCUUUAGAUAUUUAUGACCCUCAGAACUGGGAGAAUCUUCACAAUAAGUCUAGAAACAUUUUAGUUGAGAAGGGGCCUAGAAGGGACUAUAAUCUUGUGUUUCAAUCGGAUAAUACUUCUAGUUCUAGACAUUUUUCAUAUGCGUACUACUCAAGAAAGUUAAGCAAUGGUGAGGUAAGUGAUAGAAAAUGGUUAGUGUACUCUAAACACGUGAACAAAGUUUACUGUUUUUGUUGCAAGCUGUUUAAAUCUCAAGCUAGUAAAAAUAUGUUGGCAUCUGAGGGACUAUGUGACUGGAAACAUCUAAGUGAGCGGCUUAAACAUCAUGAGAAUAGUAUCGAGCACCUCACUAAUAUGAACACGUGGAAUGAACUAAGAGUGAGACUACGUAACAAUCAAACUAUUGAUAAGGAUGUGCAGCUUGAAAUUGCAAAAGAAAAAGAGAGGUGGAGGCAAGUGUUAGUAAGAAUUAUUGCUGCCGUGAAAUUUCUUGCUAAACAUAAUCUGGCUUUUCGAGGAACAAAUGAGAAAGUUUAUCAAGAUGAUAAUGGUAAUUUCUUGGGGGUAGUUGAAAUGAUUGCAGAAUUUGAUCCCAUAAUGCAAGACCAUAUUAGGCGCAUCCAAAAUAGUGAAAUUCAUCAUCAUUAUCUUGGACAUAAGAUCCAAAAUGAGUUAAUUGCUCUUCUUGCUGAUAGUGUUAAGAGUUCUAUCUUGAGAAUAAUUAAGGAUGCUAAAUAUUUCUCUGUAAUUCUGGACUGUACCCCGGAUGUAAGCCAUGAAGAACAAAUGACUUUAAUUGUGAGGUGUGUUAACAUGUCAAGUACCAUUACAAAAGUAGAGGAAUUUUUUCUAGAGUUCUUGAAGGUUAAUGAUACAUCUGGACUAGGACUUUUCAAGGAGCUAAUAGAUGCACUUAAAUCUCUUGAUUUGAAUCUUAAUGAUGUUAGAGGUCAAGGGUAUGAUAAUGGUUCUAACAUGAAGGGAAAAUACCAAGGGGUUAAAAGUUGA